rnacentral:rRNA from 1 species
UACGAGGGGGGCAAGCGUUGUUCGGAAUUAUUGGGCGUAAAGGGCGCGUAGGCGGUGCGGUAAGUCACCUGUGAAAACUCUGGGCUCAACUCAGAGCCUGCAGGCGAAACUGCCGUGCUUGAGUGUGGGAGAGGUGCGUGGAAUUCCCAGUGUAGAGGUGAAAUUCGUAGAUAUUGGGAAGAACACCGGUGGCGAAGGCGGCGACCUGGUCCUUGACUGACGCUGAGGCGCGAAAGCGUGGGGAGCAAA